rnacentral:snRNA from 1 species
GUGCUGAGGGCAAUCUGGCUGCAACAUCUGUCACCCCAUUGAUCACCAGGGUUGACUCGGCUGAUCUGGCUGGCUAGGCGGGAGUCCCCUUCCUCCCUCACCACUCCAUGUGCCUCCCUCCCAAAGCUGAGCACUCGGUUGAAGAAGAUGGCCUUCCCAGAAUAGAGACUGACCGGUCUUCAGUGGAGGGUAUACGAGUAGCUGCGCUCCCCUGCUAGAGCCGCCAAACAAGCUCUCAAGGUAGUAAAUAAAAUGUAGAAUAAUAAUUAUGGAGUCAGGAGUUUAGGCAAUAUAUUCCCUUUGAAGUUGAUGUAACCAAAAACUU